rnacentral:rRNA from 1 species
GAUGAACGCUGGCGGCGUGCUUAACACAUGCAAGUCGAACGGAAAGGCCCAAGCUUGCUUGGGUUCUCGAGUGGCGAACGGGUGAGUAACACGUGGGUGAUCUGCCCUGCACUUCGGGAUAAGCCUGGGAAACUGGGGCUAAUACCGGGUAGGACCACAUUUUGGAUGGUGUGGUGGAAAGUUUUUCGGUGUGGGAUGAGCUCGCGGCGUAUCAGCUUGUUGGUGGGGUAAUGGCCUACCCAGCCGUCGACGGGUAGCCGGCCUGAUAGGGUGUACGGCCGGUUUGGGACUCAGAGACGGCCCACACUCGUACGGGAGGCAGCAGUGGGGAAUAUUGGACGAAGGGCGGAAGCCUGAUGGAGGGAGGCCGCGUGGGCGAUGACGUCCUUUGUGUUGUAAACUCCUUUCGCUAGGGAAGAAGCGAUUUUGUGACGGUACCUGGAGAAGAAGCACCGGCUAACUACGUG